rnacentral:tRNA from 1 species
UCUAAUUAGUUUAUUUAAAAUAUUAAAUUGUGGAUUUAAUGAAGUGGUUUUACAUUGGAUA